UACAGAGGGUGCAAGCGUUAAUCGGAAUUACUGGGCGUAAAGCGUGUGUAGGUGGUUGGAUAAGUUAGAUGUGAAAUCCCCGGGCUUAACCUGGGCAUUGCGUUUAAAACUGUUUAACUAGAGUACUGUAGAGGAUAGUGGAAAUUCCAGUGUAGCGGUGAAAUGCGUAGAUAUUGGAAGGAACACCAGUGGCGAAGGCGACUAUCUGGAAAGAUACUGACACUGAGACACGAAAGCAUGGGGAGCAAACAGG
rnacentral:rRNA from 1 species